UUGCCUAUAAAUACCCAGCUCCAACCUUGGUUUCUCCUCCUGCAACAAAGAAAAAAAAAAAUUAGAAGUUAGAGAGAUAAAAGAGUUAGAGAGAAGUGAGAGAAGAGAAAGUGUGAAGCUUUGGAGAAGCUGAGCCACCAAGAGUCGUCGCCGGAGCCACUGCACGCCAAGACCAAGCCAAGCUCAUCACCACCGUUCGUUGUAGUCGGUAAGGGCCGGAAACCGCCAUGCAUUUGAGUUUAGUUUCGUGCGUUUAGUAAAUCGUUCAUAACUUUCUAACCGUUGCGAAUCUCGUGCAUGCAAACCCACCAUCGUGUUCCUCUCGUCGAGACGAAUCCAUAGCCACCAGAAUCGUCGCAAUCGGAGCUCGGACGAAGCCGUACGAGCCCUCCAAAGUUUCGCCGGAAAUCGCCUCCACCACCACCGGACCACCGUUCUCCGCCGCCGGACCACCGUUCUCCGCCGCCGGACCACCGCUUCUCCGACGCCGGUCCGUCGCUUCUCCGCCGCCGGACUGCCAUCGCCGCCGAUUUGGAGUCUAUUUGAUCAGUUGGAGUUCAUAGAUACCACUUCUCUUCAUUUACUAAGGUGAGACCGAUGAGCAGGAGUGAUCAUAUCAGACUAGUGCUACUAUUUGGGCUCGUGGGCUUUAUCGUUUUAUCGUUUUAUCUUUUAUCAUUAUUGGGCCUUUAGGCCUUCGGACUUCUAUCGUUUACGCUACUUCCUAUUUUCAGACCUUCGGGCUUAUGUUGUUAUUAUAUUUCGGAUGUUUAUUUUUCGGAUUUGACUUUAUGGUAUUGUAUGACUUUAUGAUAUGACGUGGAUUUUAUUAUCCGUAUUAUUAUUAUUAUUUCCGCUGCGCUAUGAUUUAUUAUUAUUUUAAUCCCGAAUUUAUAUUCGAAAGA